CGGAGUCCCGUAACUGCAUCUUGCGCACAAAGGCGGACUGGGUUCAGCAGCGAACCCCACCAGAGCACACCGAUCCCGAUGGCGCGGAAGGCGCUCUGCUAGCGGCAACGAAGAUGGAUAUUUAGUGCAAACACUGGGAGACCGACUGCCUCGAACAUUCCAAAGAGGACCCUUCAGUGGGCAGAGUAGUCAACACCCUUUUGUGUGAAAUGUGGGAUAGUUAAACCAUAUCGCAUUCUUAUCCUCGUCUGCACUUUCAGUGGUUCUGCCCUUCUGUGGUGGGCCUUCAGCCUCUCCACCUGGGUGAGGAUAGAAAUCCCAAGUGGCUCCCAAGUCCUUUUCAGCGCUCUUUUUGCAAUAUGCAGUGGUGAGAUCAAGUGUUGGAUUCCACUAUCAAAAUCAAACGACUACAUCUUUGGUCGAAUUUUCAUGAUCAGCGCCCUUCUUCUCUCCUUCUUCCUGAGCUUUAUACUCCUGGUCUUACCUCAUUCCCUUCCUGAUACCCGGAAACAGUACUUUGUCUUCACAAUCGUCUUCUUCGUCAUAGGUAUCUGUGUGUUCCUUGCAUUACUGCUGCACUCUCUGCAUGUUUUGAAAGUAACCAACUUAUGCAAGGAUGCGAAAAUCACCUUUCUCUACCCUACUUUCAUCCUUUCAUUCAGCGCCAUACUAUUUUUCUUAUCUGGAAUCCUCUGCUUAUUCAGCUCCCAUCAUUGUUGGCUUCAGUGCGUCUUACAGCAACCAAUCCAAGUGAAACCUAUGCAAAUGUCAGUGGUCAGUGGGAACUCAGCAAUGGUCACAGAAAGGACACCGGGUAGAGAUGGCUAGCCUAACCUCAGUGGUGGUGAGAAAGCUGAUUUUAGAAGAAACAUGUCUCACCUGUAAUUCAAGAUUUCACAGCUAUACACACACUCUUAUUUAAUUACUGCAUAAGACUGGAAAGAGUUGGCUGGUUACUAAUCAUUGUUCAAGAUAUGGCUUAGGAUUCCGGGGACUUAGAUAUUCAUAAGAGAGAAAACACAGUUGGGGUGUGGGGAAAGUUGAGUGUUUGGCUCUUGGGGACUUGAAAUGAAAAAAACUUCUCUUCACCUUGAAGAUUCUUCUCUUGGCACCCAUUUCCCAACCCUCUUGCUGGUAUGCCUGGUCUCCUGGCAGUGGUUUUUUUUAGCAGUAACAAAACUCUCUCUCCACUAUAAAGCCUGAGUUUGAUAAAAACAAAUUUUUUUUCUGCUCUCUGGGAAUUUCAUGAGUGGAAUCUUUUCACUACUGUGUUAUUCGGGACUCUUUUUUUUUUUUUUUUUUUUUGCAUGUAACAAACCUUAUCCAAACUACCUUCAACAAAAAUUGAAUUUAUUGGAUGCAGGGGUUACCUCAUAGACUCAAAAAAAGUUCUGGUAGAAUCAGGGCUACAUGAGAGAGUUGGGGAGCUGGAAUCUUGAGAUCAUUUCCUCAGGAUACUAUUUUUUUAAACUAUCCACUGAAGGUUAAUGGAAUUUCUCAAUCCUUAAAAUGGAAGCACUAUCCUAAAUUCCUCUUGCUCAUCACUUUCAAUGAAUCACCAAAGCUUGUCCUUUCCACCUCAACAAGACUUCCGUUCCCCUCCCUGAGCCCUCCUCACUGGUCAUCGUGACCAGGUCUUUGUCAUCCCUGCCCAGACUGUGUUGUCUCUGAAUGUGGCUUGUCCCCCACUGUGGCCUACCUCUGCGAAGCUGCCCAGCUCGAGCUUCCUAAAAUACAGAGAUGAGAAUGUGCUCCUUAAAAGCCUAUUUUGCCUUCUUCUGGCCUUCAGGAUAAAUUCCUUAUCUUGAUAAAUAAAGUUAUUUACAAGUUGGCAUC
rnacentral:lncRNA from 1 species